GGCACUUUGGCCGAGUGGUCUAAGGCGCCGUGUUCAGGUUAGUCGACUCGUUCGACUAAGCUCAUUCGCGGUCUAGUAAUAGGCGAGGGUUCGAAUCCCUCAGGUGUCA
rnacentral:tRNA from 2 species